AAAUUGAAGAGUUUGAUCAUGGCUCAGAUUGAACGCUGGCGGCAGGCCUAACACAUGCAAGUCGAACGGUAACAGGAAGCAGCUUGCUGCUUYGCUGACGAGUGGCGGACGGGUGAGUAAUGUCUGGGAAACUGCCUGAUGGAGGGGGAUAACUACUGGAAACGGUGGCUAAUACCGCAUAACGUCGCAAGACCAAAGAGGGGGACCUUCGGGCCUCUUGCCAUCAGAUGUGCCCAGAUGGGAUUAGCUKGUUGGUGAGGUAACGGCUCACCAAGGCGACGAUCCCUAGCUGGUCUGAGAGGAUGACCAGCCACACUGGAACUGAGACACGGUCCAGACUCCUACGGGAGGCAGCAGUGGGGA
rnacentral:rRNA from 1 species